CUCCUCUUCAGGAGAUGGUUAUCGACCUUCCAUCUCUAGAGUGCCUUCUUCAGGAUACAGACGAUGUACCUCAUCCCCUUGUUCUCCAAGGUCUCUUGCAUCUCAUAGUGUAGUCUAUUUCAGGGAACCUUGGUCGGUCAAGGGAGUUUCGCAAUCAACUCCCCAACUUAUCAAUGGUGCAACCAACACGAGACAGGCUUAUAAAUCUGCUUGGAGCAGAUGGCAUAGCUGGUGCAUGAAAUUAAAUUUAAAUCCCAUAUCGG